CAUACCUCCUUGUUCCUCCUGUUUUAUUCUCCAUGUUUCUGGUUCCUCGUGUUUUAUUCUCCAGGUUUCUGGCUCCUCGUGUUUUAUUCCCCAGGUUUCUGGUUCCUCGUGUUUUAUUCUCCAGGUUUCUGGUUCCUCGUGUUUUAUUCUCCAGGUUUCUGGUUCACUCGUGUUCUCUUCACUCUCCUCUUUAACAAACUCCAUCUUCACAGCAGCAGAUCUCAGUUCUGAUGAUACUCCUCCAGAUAUUCCUGCUUGAUUCAAAACUUAGUUACGACUGUGAAUACCAGAAUAUUAUAGGUAUUUAUUGACCUGAUUCAAAAACUGUAUUUCUCAUUCAAUCAGAAUCACAACAGAACAACAGAGAGCGCGGUGAA